ensembl:lncRNA
AUGCGGGGAAGCUGCGGGUGUUUAUUUUAUUAUUCCCGUGGUUUAUUCCCGUUGUUUUUCCCGUGGUUUAUUGGCAGGUGGACGCGGGGAAGCUGCGGGUGUUUAUUUCAUUAUUCCCGUGGUUUAUUCCUGUGGUUUAUUCCCAUUUUAAUUCCCAGGUGGACGCGGGGAAGCUGCGGGCGUUUAUUUCACAUUUUCCCAUUGUUUAUUCCCAUUUUAUCCAUGGUUUAUUCCCAGGACGCGGGGAAGCUGCGCGUGUUUAUUUUAUUGUUCCCGUGGUUUAUUCCUGUGGUUUAUUCCCGUGGUUUAUUGUCAGGUGGACGCGGGGAAGCUGCGGGUGUUUAUUCCCAGAUUUCCCGUGGUUUAUUCCCGUGGUUUAUUCCCAUUUUAACUCCCAGGUGGACGCGGGGAAGCUGCAGGUGUUUAUUUCACAUUUUCCCAUUGGUUAUUCCCAAUUUUCCGGUUGUUUUUCCCGUGGUUUAUUGUCAGGUGGACGCGGGGAAGCUGCGGGUGAUUAUUUACAUUUUCCCAUUGUUUAUUGCCAUUUUAAUUCCCGUGGUUUAUUGUCAGGUGGACGCGGGGAAGCUGUGGGUGUUUAUUUCAUUAUUCCCGUUGUUUAUUCCCAUCAUUUUUCCCGUGGUUUAUUCCCAGGUGGGCGCGGGGAAGCUGCGGGUAUUUAUGUCACAUUUUCCCGUUGUUUAUUCCCAAUUUUCCCAUUGUUUAUUCCCGUGGUUUAUUCCCAUUUUAAUUCCCAGGUGGAUGCAGGGAAGUUGUGGGUGUUUAUUUCACAUUUGCCCAUUGUUUAUUCCCGUUUUUCCUGUUUAUUCCCAGGUGGACACAGGGAAGCUGGGGGUGUUUAUUUCACAUUUUCCCGUUGUUUAUUCCCAAUUUUCUCAUUGUUUAUUGCCAAUUUUUCACAUUGUUUUUCCCGUUCCCAUUCCCAGGUGGACGCUGCAGGUGUUUAUUCCCCAUUUUCUCAUUGUUUUUCCAAAUGUCCCCACUGUUUAUUCCCAUUUUCCCCUUGUUUAUUCCCAGGUGGAUGCAGGCAAGCUGUGGGUGUUUAUUCUCGUUUUUCCCGGUGUUUAUUUCCAUUUUUCCCACUGUUUAUUCCCGUUUUUCCCGUGGUUUAUUCCCAGGUGGACGCGGGGAAGCUGCGAGUGUUUAUUUCAUUAUUCCCGUUGUUUAUUCCCGUCAUUUUUCCCGUGGUUUAUUCCCAGGUGGACGCGGGGAAGCUGCGGGUGGUGGACGAGAGCGAGGGCCGGCUCUGGGCCGAGAGCCGCGGAUUCCUCUACUGGGAGACGUCGGCGCAGAGCGGGGAGGGCAUCCAGGAGAUGUUCCAGGUGGGAAUUCCCAAAAAAAUCCGGGAAUUUCCUGGGAAUUCUGGCUUGGAAUUCUGGGUGGGAAUUCCUUGGGAGAUGUUCCAGGAGGGAAUUCCCAAAAAAAUCCGGGAAUUCUGGGAAUUUUUUGGGUGGGAAUCCUGGGAAUUUUUGGGAUUUUCCUGGGAAUUCUGGGUGGGAAUUCCAGGAGAUGUUCCAGGUGGGAAACCCCAAAAAUCUGGGAAUUAUGGGAAUUUUUUGGGUGGAAAUUCUGGGAAUUUUUGGGAUUCUCUUGGGAAUUCUGGGUGGAAAUUCCUGGUGGGAAUUCCAGGAGAUGUUCCAGGUGGGAAACCCCAAAAAAAUCCGGGAAUUCUGGGUGGAAAAAUCCGGGAAUUCCGGCUGGUGUUCCAGGUGGGAACUCCGGGAAUUCUGGGUGGAAGUUCUGGGAAUUCUGGGAAUUUUAGGGUGGGAAUUCUGGGAGAAGUUUUGGGAUUUUCCUGGGAAUUCUGGGUGGGAAUUGUGGGAAUUCCUUGGGAGAUGUUCCAGGUGGGGAUUCCCAAAAAAUCUGGGAAUUCUCAGAAUUUUUGGGUGGAAAUCCUGGGAAUUUUUGGGAUUCUCUUGGGAAUUGUGGGUGGGAAUUCCGGGAAUUUCUGGGUGGGAAUUCCAGGUGGGAAUUCCCAAAAAAAUCCGGGAAUUCUGAGAAUUUUUUGGUGGAAAUUCUGGGAAUUUUUGGGAUUCUCUUGGGAAUUCUGGGUGGAAAUUCUGGGUGGGAAUUCCAGGAGAUGUUCCAGGUGGGAAUUCCCAAAAAAAUCUGGGAAUUCUGGGUGGAAAAAUCCGGGAAUUCUGGCUGGUGUUCCAGGUGGGAACUCCAGUAAUUCUGAGUGGAAAUUCCGGGAAUUCUGGGAAUUUUUGGGUGGGAAUUCUGGGAGAAGUUUUGGGAUUCUCCUGGGAAUUCCGGGUGGGAAUUGUGGGAAUUCCUUGGGAGAUGUUCCAGGUGGGAAUUCCCAAAAAAAAUCCGGAAAUUCUGGGAAUUUUUGGGUGGGAAUUCUGGGAAUUUUUGGGAUUAUCCUGGGAAUUCUGGGUUGGAAUUCCGGGAAUUCUGGGUGGGAAUUCCAGGAGAUGUUCCAGGUGGGAAUUCCCUAAAAUCCGGGAAUUCUGGGAAUUUUUUGGGUGGGAAUUUUGGGGAUUUUCCUGGGAAUUCUGGCUUGGAAUUCUGGGUGGGAAUUCCGGGUGGGAAUUUACAAAAAAAUCCAGGAAUUCUGAGAAUUUUUGGGUGGAAAUUCUGGGUGGGAAUUCCCUGAGAGAUGGUCCAGGCUGGAAUUCCUUGGGAGAUGUUCCAGGAGGGAAUUCCCAAAUAUCCGAGGGGGAAUUCCGGGUGGGAAUUCCCAAAAAAAUCCAGGAAUUCUGGGAAUUUUUUGGGUGGGAAUUCUGGGAAUUUUGGGGAUUCUCCUGGGAAUUCUGGGUGGGAAUUCUGGGUGGGAAUUCCUUGGGAGAUGUUCCUGGUGGGAAUUUGGGAAUUCUGGGAGACGCUUCAGGUGGGAAUUGUCCCAGGAAUUCUGAGAAUUCUGGAAAUUCCAGGUGGGAUUUGGGGUGGGAACGAUCCAGGAGAUGUUCCAGGUGGGAAACCCCAAGAAAAUCCAGAAAUUCUGGGAAUUUUUGGGUGGAAAUUCUGGGAAUUUUUGGGAUUCUCCUGGGAAUUC